AACGAACGCUGGCGGCAUGCCUAACACAUGCAAGUCGAACGAGACCUUCGGGUCUAGUGGCGCACGGGUGCGUAACGCGUGGGAACCUGCCCUUAGGUUCGGAAUAACUCCCCGAAAGGGGUGCUAAUACCGGAUAAUGUCUUCGGACCAAAGAUUUAUCGCCUUUGGAUGGGCCCGCGUUGGAUUAGAUAGUUGGUAGGGUAAAAGCCUACCAAGGCGACGAUCCAUAGCUGGUCUGAGAGGAGGAUCAGCCACACUGGGACUGAGACACGGCCCAGAAUCCUACGGGAGGCAGCAGUGGGGAAUAUUGCACCAUGGGCGAAAGCCUGAUCCAGCAAUGCCGCGUGAGUGAUGAAGGCAUUAGGGUUGUAAAGCUCUUUUACCCGGGAUGAUAAUGACAGUACCGGGAGAAUAAGCUCCGGCUAACUCCGUG
rnacentral:rRNA from 1 species